rnacentral:rRNA from 1 species
AUUGGCCUACGGGGGGCAGCAGUGAGGAAUAUUGGUCAAUGGUCGGGAGACUGAACCAGCCAAGUCGCGUGAGGGAUGACGGUCCUAUGGAUUGUAAACCUCUUUUGUCGGGGAGCAAGGCCCGCCACGUGUGGCGGGAAGGAGAGUACCCGAAGAAAAAGCAUCGGCUAACUCCGUGCCAGCAGCCGCGGUAAUACGGAGGAUGCGAGCGUUAUCCAGAUUUAUUGGGGUUAAAGGGUGCGUAGGCGGAAGGUUAAGUCAGCGGUCAAAUGUCGGUGCUCAACACCGGCCUGCCGUUGAAACUG